rnacentral:tRNA from 1 species
UUGGGGUUCUGGCUCAGUGGUAGAGCACUUGCCUAGCACAUGUGAGGCACUGGGUUUGAUUCCCAGCACCACAAA